rnacentral:rRNA from 1 species
GACGAACGCUGGCGGCGUGCCUAAUACAUGCAAGUCGUGCGGACCUUGUUGAAGGCUUGCUUUUAAAAGGUUAGCGGCGGACGGGUGAGUAACACGUGGGCAACCUGCCUGUAAGACUGGGAUAACGCCGGGAAACCGGGGCUAAUACCAGAUCGUUUUUUCCUCCGCAUGGAGGAAAAAGGAAAGGCGGCUUCGGCUGCCACUUACAGAUGGGCCCGCGGCGCAUUAGCUAGUUGGCGGGGUAAUGGCCCACCAAGGCAACGAGGCGUAGCCGACCUGAGAGGGGGAUCGGCCACAAUGGGACUGAGACACCGCCCAAACGCCUACGGGGGGCAGCAGGAGGGAAUCUUCCGCAAUGGACGAAAGGCUGACGGAGCAACGCCGCGGGAGGGAAGAAGGCCGUCGGGUCGUAAAACUCUGUUGCCGGGGAAGAACAAGUGCCGUUCGAACAGGGCGGCGCCUUGACGGUACCCGGCCAGAAAGCCACGGCUAACUACGUG